CUACAAUGUGUAAAUCAACAAUAAAGGAGAUUAAAAGUGGGUGGUUAAAGACAUAUAAAGUGAUAUGGUCUUGUUCAACAACUGCCUGUAUUUUUGGAAUACUGAAGAAUAGUCUGUUGUAACAGGUUAAAUCCCAUGGAAAGAAUGUGCAUCAUCACAUAGCCUGCCAAAAAAGGGAGCAAAAGAGAGACUACCUGAUGUAUGGACUUGAAUACCAGGUUUUACCCUGCACAAGCUGGCCGACAUGAGGAGAACAGGAGUGGAAAAACCGCGCCCUCUCCUUGACCAAGAAAAGCUGGAUUUGUUUAGAGGACCUGAUCAAAUGAGAUCAUGCACGAGACGCAUCGCGCAAAGGCCAUGACAGUUUAAUAGUUGCAAAGAAGUUUGACCAGCUGGUGGCAGACUUGGAGAGAAAGAUGAGAGCUGCACUCCGCCGCCUCAAAGAAAUGCUGAAGGCCUUGAUUGAUAUGCAUCUUUCUUAUGUAUAUAGCUGUUCGUGUGUAUAUACUGUACAUGUUAUU